UAAAGAUAACCCCACAACAAAAUUCUUAGAAAUGAUAAAUUCAAAGGUAUAGCAAUUGUGCCUUAGUGUAUUUGAAUUAAUGCCAGUACUGACUAGAGUUCUUUUUCUUUUAUAAUUUUAUUUAUUUAUUUAUUUUUGGCUGAGCUGAGUCUUUGUUGCUGCGUGGGCUUUUCUCUAGUUGUGGAGAGUGCACCGGCUUCUCAUUUCAUGGCUUCCCUUGUUGUGGAGCACGGACUCUGAGCUAAUGCUCAGUAGCUAUGGCACACAGGCCCAGUUGCUCCGCAGCAUGUGGGAUCCUCCUGGACCAGGGGUAGAACCUGUAUCCCCUGCACUGGCAGCAAACUCUUCAUCACUGAGCUACCCAGAUCUAAGAAGCUUUUCAUGUGAAUUUUAUAUAUGGUAUGGAGUGUGAAUUGAAGUUCACUUUUUUGUAUAUGAAUAUCCAGAUGUUCAACCAUCAUAUGGUUCCUCCCCCCCACUCUCACCUUGCCUCCCAACUUGAGUUCCCUGGUGUUUGUUGUCUGGGAGCCUGAGACCUCAGAACCAUGGGAAAUGCCAGGAGCCUGAAUUUGCUGGAACCCACUGGGAGCUGACCAGUGUCACAUGAGCUAGGCAGUGCUGAGUCAAGCUAGGAUGUGGAUUCACAGGGGUCCUCUAGGGGUCUGUUCCCAUGUGAGAGCCACAGGGUGGGCCAAAAGCCUGGAGUUGCUGGAACUGGCUGAGAUUUUGGAAGCCUGAAGUUCCUGGAGUGGAUGUAGAACCUGAGUUCAUGGGAGCUUCCUGGAGCCAAGAAGCCAUCAGUGACCACAGCCAUCAGAGUGGGCCAGAAACCUGAGUUCAUACAGCCCUCUGCAAGCUGAGGAAGCUGCCUGGACCUUGAGAGCUGUGGGAGGAAGGAUGGGGAACUGGAGCCAGCAGGUGGCUGGGUGAACCUAGGGCCUGAAUUCAGUGCAGCUUUCCAGGUGCCUGGUGCCAAGGAUGCCACCUGCAGUCACUGGAGCCACUGGACACGAAGGUAACUUACGACCUGUGUUCACAGGAGCCCAUGUGCUUGGAGCUUGGGUGCAACAGGGACCUGUAUUCCCAUGAACCUCUAGGGGCGCAGCCACGGGCGGGGCCUGGGUCGCUGGAAAAGGCUGACUUCCCGAUGAGUGGGUUUCAAGUUGUGGAGGCUUCUGGGAACUUGGUGCUGAGGAGGACUCCUUGGGCUGCUAGAGGAGGUUGGUAACAGGUGGUGGGUCAGGGGGAGGACCCGGAGUAGGGAAGUGGUGAGUCAACUGGCUUUUUUGGUUCACAGGGAACCCACUGGCAAACUGGUGACAAGGUAUGCCUUUGAGGCUGCAGGAGCUGCCUGGGGCACUGGCAUAAGUUUGGAAGGGCUUGAGUUCUGGCACUAGCGGGGAGACACAUAAGGCUUCAGGAGUGGAUCAGAUGCUGGGGCGAGCCAGCUCUGGAGUCCUUAGUGGAUUCCAGUGCUCACUUCUCCCAUGAGCUGCAUGGGCUUGAGAGAAGAGUAUGGGGCUACUACGAAUUUGUCUUUCUUACUCUCCUCAGUGCGUCCUUUCUUAUCACUGUGCUUCACCAAAGUGCUGGUCAUCCCUCGCCUGGAAUUCUAAACUCUUGGGAGGGUUAUUUUUUAUGUGCGGAUUGUUGUUAAAAUUGACAUUUCUUGGCUGAGGCUGCUGAGUGGCAGGGGGCAUAAUUCCUAGCUGUCAUUUUGCUGAAGUACUGUGCACUGAGUCUUUUUCUGAGGGCCAUGCUUCAGUUACUGGGAACUCGUAUGUUAAACUCUCUAGUCCUGUUAUUUCUAAAUUGAUUCCUGCUGUUUUUGAGGGAUUAAUGAGGUCAAGAAGACUAGGCCUUCCAGAUGUGUCAGGUGGAGCUGGAAGUCAAUCUACUGAAGAUGGGACUCUUUAAAGAAGGUAAUUCCUGGAUCUCUGUUGAUUCAUCUGCUAGGGAAUGACUGAAGUGUUAUUGGUAGAAUUGGAUGUCCUUGAUAUUUUUGUUUUAUUUCUCAACAGUCAAUGAUGGCAUCUCAUUAAUGAUAAAUAUGUCCUUUUUACUUUUCAUUUUCCAGUUUCUGUGGUAAAUAGUUUUACUGGACCUUGUGUUAAUCCUUUGAGUUACCAGAGGAUGUUGAAAACAGUGAAAUUAAUCAGUAGAAUUGUUACUGAAAGAUAAGUGAGGUUGGGCUGCUUGCUGCUCUACAGCCAAUAAACAGGCCAAAUUGGUGGAAAGGAAAAUUUGCUUUAUUUCAGAUGCUGGCAACUGCAGGGGAGGGCAGAUGUCUGUCCAAAGGCCAACUGCCUCCCUGCGUCCCCCCUCGCCCCCACCACCCCCAUCACUGCAACCAGUGGGCAGAAGCUUUUAUAGACAGUUUGGAGGGGGUUACAUGCAGAAAUAGCACAGUCAGCUCUGACAGUCAUCUUCAAAUUGGUCACUGAUGAUCUGAGCAACAUCAUCUUGGGGUUAUUUUAGGUACAGUUGAUCUUCAGUUCCAGGGUCUGUUUGUGCCCAUUUCUUUGAGGCCAGUUCUCAGAAUUAUGGCUGCUUAUGUUGUGGGUACAGUCUGGUCAUCAUGUAGUUAAUUUCUUCACCCUGAUGUUUUAGUGUCUACAAGACAGCUCACAGAGGUGGCUCAGCAUGUUAUCUAUAGCCCUUGAAAAAUAACUAAUGGUCCUUGACUAUGCUUAAUGACUACAUUAUUAUUAUUUGGUCUCCUUUGACUGUUUCCUUUGUUUCUGCAUUUUUCAUUGCUCUGAUUAAACUUAUUCUUUGACUAAAGUUUUCCACAGACACAAGACAGACAGAGGAAUGGGGGGGUUGGGGUGGGCAAGGACCAUAGGGUCCUGCUCCAUUUCAGAAUUUUUUUUUUUUUUGUCAACUUUGUGAUCCCUGAGUUUUCUAACUUUUUUAUAGUGCCUGAUUGUAAUGACCUUUCUCACCCCAGGAUAUUUGAGUCUUCCUCAUUACUUACAGCAUGAGACUUGAAAACACCAUUGUAUGUAGAGGCUAGAGAUAUGGGUACUCUUUACAUUUCUGUAAUUAAGCAAUUUGACUGACUUUUCUUUCAUUUUAUGACUUUGAAAUUUUUUUUAGUUUAUAAACUUUUAUAGCUAGACUGAGUGAUCUUUCUUAGCUCAGUUAAACCCUGAUAAUCUGAUUUAUUGGUUAUAAAUUCCAUGUCAUCCAGUAUCAAGAGUAAAUUACAUGAUGACUCUGAUGAAGGAUAUGACUCUGUAAAAACCCACAGAUAUGACAGUUGUCACUAGGAGACAGACCCAAGUAUUCUUGGCUCCUUUGUCAUAAAUUAAUUGACCAUGUAUGAAUGAGUUUAUUUCUGACCUCUCUAUUCUGUUAAUUAGUCUAUGUGUCUUUUUUAUGCCCAUACCAUACUGUUUUGAUUACUAUAGCUCUGGAAUAUAUUGAUAGGUUGAAAUCAGGAAGUGUGAUGCUUCCAACUUUGUUCUUUCUCAAGAUUGCUCUGACUCGUUAGAGUCUUUGGCGGUUGCAUAUGAACUUUAGGGUUUUUUUUUUUUUUUGUAUCUUAAAAAUGCCAUUGGAAUUUUGAGAGGGAUUUCAUUGAAUAUGUAGAAUAUGUAGGGCUUCCUUUGGGUAAUAUGGACAUUUUAACAAUAUUAAGUCUUCCUUUCCAAGAACAUGAAAUAUCUUUUCAUUUAUUUGUGUCUUCAGUUUUUUUUCCAUCAGUAUUUUAUUGUGUCUAGUGUAGAAGUCU